rnacentral:lncRNA from 1 species
CAGAUACUGUGGGAGUUUCUGCCUUGAUAUUCUGGGUUAUAAAGCUGUGUGGAAAGGCCCUGGAACAGGAUUGUUUUCCUCCUCUGCAAGGCCUUCCCAAAGUGAGUCUCGCUGAGUUCCACCGGACUUCAAUCAGCGACCAAUGGAAUUGCCGCCUUCAGCAAAGCAGCUGAAGCGGAAGAAGGCGGGGCCAGGAGGCGCGCCCAUUGUGACGCAAUAAGUCGCUGUUCCGAUUAACGCACUACUCCCUCCGACACGGCUCGCACGGAAAGCUCGCGCGUGCCUUUACAGCUGCAGCGACAACCAAUGUAGUAGUGACGUCAGCAGCUUUGCUUUCAGCCAUUGGCGCUUCCCGCGGGAAAGAUGGGCUCAUAAGGCGGCGUUGAGCGACGGCUCUUUCCUUUCGCCUCUUGCGUUGCUUCUGACGGCUGGCGUCCACGCGGGUUGGAGUCACGGUUGCAAAAAAUGACAUCCAAUUCCCUAAGUGUUAACCAUCGCAUGCAACGCACAGCAACACUUGCACAGGAAGUUCUGGAACGGGCAAAAUCACGAAAAUUAAACUGGCCAAUUCCUGGUCAGCUCCAAAGGAGGACCUUCCGGGAAGGGGAUGGUGAAGAUGCAUGUUUUGCUGCAGCCUUUGCUUCAGUUGCUGAACACAUGGGCCACAUCUCUGCAGCAUGUGAGAACUACUACUGCUGUGUGUCUCCACUUCAGUUUAAGGAGUGUGAAGUUGCCCAUAUCUUUAGAUACCACAGCAGGCAAGCAUCUGAAAAUCUGUUGAAAGCAUUUGAAAAUGAAGAAAGUAAACAUGGUCCAAUAGUGGAAGAACCUGGGUGUCCAGAUACAGAAUCAUCUGCAUUAGUUCCAGCUAAGACCUCUGAUACAAAAGAAAGUAAACAUGAUCCAAUAGUGGAAGAACCUGGGUGUCCAGAUACAGAACCAUCUGCAUUAGUUCCAGCUAAGACCUCUGAUACAAAAGAUAUCUAUGUUGAAGUUUCUCCUGGCACCUACAGCGUCAGCGCAUCUUUGCAUGAAGACGGAAUCAAACAAACACAUCUGCUGAAGAUUAAGCCAGGAGAAAGUGUAAAUUUGACUUUUGAUUUCUAA